rnacentral:misc_RNA from 1 species
AUUGUUUAAAUUCAGAAAUUGAAAGAGUACAAAAUUGGUUGAAAGAUUAAAUUAAGUAACAGAGAUGCAAAAUGUUAUUCUCAACGAGCUUGCAGAAAUAAAAGUUCUUUUAAAAGAAGUUAUAGAAAUUAAGUUUCAGGCUACUGGGGUGAAGUUGCUAGAAUCAGUGGACGAAGUGGUUACACUGGAUAAUAAACUAAAAGAUAAAACCGACUUGAUAGUUUGAAAAAGAUUGGUGGUGGAAAGCCUAGAGAACAUGUUUUUUUGAUCAUGAAAAGGUUAUUUUCGAAUCAGUUACAGUCCAAAUUUAAUCGAAAAGGAAAUGGGGAAAAGAUAAGCUUAGAAAAUAUAGUAAAUAUAUGAAGUGUUUUACGAGAUAUCGGCGACGUGGAAGAAAAUGUUGACGGCAAUGCAGAAAUAUAGUUUCUUAUGUAUAUUUUCGUGAAAUAAAAAUUAAGUAAUGUUAGUUAAAA